CUGUCAGGUCCGUCUCUCUCGGUUCGCUAUCGACCCGAGCGCAUGCAACGGAUCGCCGCCGGCUCGCCCGCGCGAUUCCAGCUGGCACCCCAACUAACUCCUUACCUAGACUAUUGACUAUAUAGUCGUGCGCUGGAGACCUGUUUUUCGCUUUCUCAGCCGUGCCCAAUUACCAUCCACGAAGCCGAGAAGUGAGAGAGGGAGAGCUGCCGCAUCCGCUCUCCGUUGGUGUAGCAGAGUGAAGCGCGAGGAUAGGCCACAGACCGUUGCAGUGUUCUCAGGGGUGAAAUCAACGCCGCCCCAGUGCGGAUUGGCGCUCGAGACGAGCGAGAAUUCCUCACCAGAGAUUUGCGGCCGCCGUGGCCCGAGAUCCACCAUGGACGAAGCCCGGCACGACGGAAUCCACGACGAGCAAGUGACCGAGGAGCCCGAAACAUAACAGGUGGAAAAUACUGAGCAGCAGCUCGUUGAAGGCAAGUUGUGUCCUUGAUCUCUCUUCUUUACCCAAUAAUGUUACUAUUAAUCACUGUGGCAUGCUUAGAUUAAUCUUGAUGGGACCUAAUAGGUCAACCUAGUUUGAGUUACCUUAUACCUUACUUAUCACUGAACGUUUGGGUAGUAUGUGUUAUUGUUCUAUGUGGUUUUGGGUAUUAAGAUACAUUUUAUUCAUGACCAUGCUAUUUAUUGUCAAUGGAAUAUUUUUUGUUCAUGAUAAGGUUAUUAUGUUAAUUGGAACAUGGAGCGACCACCCGAGAAAACAGUGCUACCACAAGUGUAGAAUGGGACGCCCUUGGCUGAUUAAUUAGGAAAGCUAGUGUGAGUUAAUCUUUUCCCGAAAGGGGCAAGCGGGGUGGAGGAUGCAGGUGUAGGGAGGUCCUUGGGUCUGAGUGUCUUGUUAACUUUCUGGACGAAGGAUUCCUAUGCAGCUUUCGGCCCGGAAACCGUAGCGGGUUCUCUCCUCUAGUGGAACUUUGUAAAUGCCUCGCAGUGUACCAUCAUCUACUCACCUUGGCAAUGUUUAAGGGUUUGAUCAA